rnacentral:rRNA from 1 species
AAACGACUCUCGGCAACGGAUAUCCCGGCUCUUGCAUCGAUGAAGAACGUAGCGAAAUGCGAUACUUGGUGUGAAUUGCAGAAUCCCGUGAACCAUCGAGUCUUUGAACGCAAGUUGCGCCCGAAGCCUGUAGGUUGAGGGCACGUCUGCCUGGGUGUCACGCAUCAUGUUGCC